rnacentral:lncRNA from 1 species
AACUUGCAAAUAGCUUAGGAGAGUUAAAUGAGAGGUAGAGAGGAAAGGAUUCUAGAAAAAAAAAGCAAGGAUUUUGGGGAGGUAAAUCACCGAUUUGGAGAAGAGGGGUUGAAUCUAAGGCAAGCUUGAACCGUCCAAAUGAAGAAGAAAGAGGAAAGGAAGUUGGUUCCUUAAUGAGCGAUUUGAACGGUGAAGAUUGGUGAGAAAAGAAAUUUUGAGAGAAACCUUCGAUUUGAGAGA